AGCAGCCGCGGUAAUUCCAGCUCCAAUAGCGUAUAUUAAAGUUGCUGCAGUUAAAAAGCUCGUAGUUGAAUUUCGGGGUCAGUAGGUUGGUCGUGCCACUGGUAUGCACUGGUCUCACUGAUUCCUCCUUCCUGAUGAACCGUAAUGCCAUUAAUUUGGUGUUGCGGGGAAUCUGGACUAGUUACUUUGAAAAAAUUAGAGUGUUUAAAGCAGGCUAACGCUUGAAUACAUUAGCAUGGAAUAAUGAAAUAGGACGAUCGAUCCUAUUUUGUGGUUUCUAGGAUUGACGUAAUGAUUAAUAGGGAUAGUUGGGGGCAUUAGUAUUCAAUUGUCAGAGGUGAAAUUCUUGGAUUUAUUGAAGACUAACUACUGCGUAAAGCAUUUGCCUAAGGAUGUUUUCAUUAAUCUAAGAACGAAAGUUAGGGGAUCGAAGACGAUCAGAUACCGUCGUAGUCUUAACCAUAAACCUAUGCCGACUAGGGAUCGGAUGGUGUUAAUUUUUAAUGA
rnacentral:rRNA from 1 species